rnacentral:lncRNA from 1 species
UUCAGUAUGUGAAAAUUCAUUUAUUUAGUGGAAACUUAUAGUAAAGCACCCCAACACAAUGGAAAUUCCAUAAAAUGAUUGGUGGUUGGUUUUGUCUCAUAGUGAACCUACAGUAGGUUCACAUGAUCAUUUCAUUAACCCACAAUAAUGAUUCUACCUUUUUUAUAGGAUUGUUUAGGACCCCACUCACACAUUAAAACCUUGCCAUAUGCUA